rnacentral:rRNA from 1 species
UACGUAGGGGGCAAGCGUUGUCCGGAUUUAUUGGGCGUAAAGAGCGUGUAGGCGGCCAGACAGGUCCGUUGUGAAAACUAGAGGCUUAACCUCUAGACGUCGGUGGAAACCGUCUGACUAGAGUCCGGAAGAGGAGAGUGGAAUUCCCGGUGUAGCGGUGAAAUGCGCAGAUAUCAGGAAGAACACCCGUGGCUAAGGCGGCUCUCUAGUACGUGACUGACGCUGAGACGCGAAAGCGUGGGGAGCGAACAGG